rnacentral:rRNA from 1 species
GCAGGAAAGCUAGCCUAAACACACCAAGUAAACAUCCAACUAUAAAUAUCCGAAAAAACAACAACUAAAGCAUUUUUCCACCCAAGUAUGGGCGACAGAAAAGGA